AAAACAGAUCUUAAUCAUAGAAUCAUAGAAUAUCCUGAGUUGGAAGGGACCCUCAAGGAUAAUCGAGUCCAGCUCAUGGCACCACACAGGUCUACCCCAAAGUUCAGACCAUAUGACUAAGAGGACAGUCCAAAGUCUUCUUAAACCCUGACAGGCUUAGUGCCAUGACUAUAUCCCUGGGGAACUUGUUCCAGUGUUUGACAACCCUCUUGCUAAAGAACCUUUUCCUGAUAUCGAGCCUGAA